rnacentral:lncRNA from 1 species
CACCAGGCCCACGCGGUGUCAGGACCCUCCCGGCCCGCAACGGCUGCUCCGCCCGCCGCCCAUCGCCCGCCGCCCAUCGCCCGCCGCCCAUCGCCCGCCGCUCGGAGCCGCCGGGGCCGCCAUACCGCGCCCACCUCUGUCGCUGCUGCUACUGCUGCUGCUGCGCUCCGGGCUGCGCCUAGGGGCGGCCGUCGGUUCGGAAGCCGCAGCGUGGGGGCGCCGUAGGGCGGGCGGCCUUUUUGGGCGGGUCGUACGCUCAGACGCUGACUUCACUCCGAAGCACCAGGAGGGCCCUGAAUUUCGCUCAGAAUGAAAGGACCGCCUUCCUCAACCUUGGUCUGAGCUGGCAGGGCGCGCCAGGCAGCUGCGCGUCUCUAGGUUCUCAACGUUCAUUCCUUCAAAUCAUAUUUCCAGAGAAACUACAAGGAAAUGCAAGCAGUAAUUUACAAGACCAGAUGUCCUAUAUUAUUGCAAUAGAUGAGAAACUGUGUACUGUGCACCUAAAGCCAAGGUAAGUUUUUUUUAGUUGAGAAUUUCAUUUUAUGUCUAUGAAAUUUUUUCCUUGCAAUAAAAUGAUGU